rnacentral:rRNA from 1 species
UAGAGUUUCGAUCCUGGCUACAGGACGAAACGCUGGCGCGUGCUUAACACAUGCAAGUCGAGCGGUAAGGCUCCUUCGGGAGUACACGAGCGGCGAACGGGUGAGUAACACGUGAGUAAUCUGCCUCCACUUCGGGAUAAGCGCCGGAAACGGCGUCUAAUACCGAAUACGACGCGCUUUCGCAUGAGAUGCGCGUGGAAAGUUUUUAUCGGUGGAGGAUGUGCUCGCGGCCUAUCAGCUUGUUGGUGAGGUAACGGCUCACCAAGGCUUCGACGGGUAGCCGGCCUGAGAGGGUGACCGGCCACACUGGGACUGAGACACGGCCCAGACUCCUACGGGAGGCAGCAGUGGGGAAUAUUGGACAAUGGGCGAAAGCCUGAUCCAGCAACGCCGCGUGAGGAAUGACGGCCUUCGGGUUGUAAACCUCUUUCAGUACCGACGAAGCGCCAAUAACGGUGGUGACGGUAGGUACAGAAGAAGGACCGGCCAACUACGUG